AAAUUGAAGAGUUUGAUCAUGGCUCAGAUUGAACGCUGGCGGCAGGCCUAACACAUGCAAGUCGAACGGUAACAGGAAGCAGCUUGCUGCUUUGCUGACGAGUGGCGGACGGGUGAGUAAUGUCUGGGAAACUGCCUGAUGGAGGGGGAUAACUACUGGAAACGGUGGCUAAUACCGCAUAACGUCGCAAGACCAAAGAGGGGGACCUUCGGGCCUCUUGCCAUCAGAUGUGCCCAGAUGGGAUUAGCUAGUUGGUGAGGUAACGGCUCACCAAGGCGACGAUCCCUAGCUGGUCUGAGAGGAUGACCAGCCACACUGGAACUGAGACACGGUCCAGACUCCUACGGGAGGCAGCAGUGGGGAAUAUUGCACAAUGGGCGCAAGCCUGAUGCAGCCAUGCCGCGUGUAUGAAGAAGGCCUUAGGGUUGUAAAGUACUUUCAGCGGGGAGGAAGGUGUUGCGGUUAAUAACCGCAGCAAUUGACGUUACCCGCAGAAGAAGCACCGGCUAACUCCGUGCCAGCAGCCG
rnacentral:rRNA from 1 species